rnacentral:rRNA from 1 species
UACGUAGGGUGCAAGCGUUGUCCGGAAUUAUUGGGCGUAAAGAGCUCGUAGGCGGUUCGUCGCGUCGGCUGUGAAAUCCCGAGGCUCAACCUCGGGUCUGCAGUCGAUACGGGCGGACUGGAGUUCGGCAGGGGAGACUGGAAUUCCUGGUGUAGCGGUGAAAUGCGCAGAUAUCAGGAGGAACACCGGUGGCGAAGGCGGGUCUCUGGCUCACAACUGACGAUCAGGCACGAAAGCGUGGGGAGCAAACAGG